CUUUGAAAGUUUUCUAACCCAGCCUUGCAGCAGGAAGGAUGGAUGCGACUUCAUUGCCCUGAGGCACAGAUCACUCCCAUGAUGAAGUAAUCGAUUUCCCAUUGCAGGGCUGCAGGACUGGGCAGGACAGAAACCUUUGUCAACAAGUUGACAGAAGCAAUUUGAAGAAGAAAGGUUAUUCCCAGCUUGCACUUCCAGAGUGAGGAAGUUAAGGUGCAGGAGCUUGAGACAGCAGGUCACAAUGGAUCUGUAGUAAGGAAGCAGAGGAAGAAGAAUGUUGGUGGGCAACUCCCUUUCUCCUGAUUCUUCAGCCCAAGACUUCAGUGCAGGGAAUGACACCACCCACUUUUAGUGUGGGGGUGGCCAGG